rnacentral:rRNA from 1 species
GAGUUUGAUCCUGGCUCAGAUUGAACGCUGGCGGCAGGCCUAACACAUGCAAGUCGAACGGUAACAGAAAGCAGCUUGCUGCUUUGCUGACGAGUGGCGGACGGGUGAGUAAUGUCUGGGGAACUGCCUGAUGGAGGGGGAUGACUACUGGAAACGGUAGCUAAUACCGCAUAACGUCGCAAGACCAAAGAGGGGGACCUUCGGGCCUCUUGCCAUCGGAUGUGCCCAGAUGGGAUUAGCUUGUUGGUGGGGUAACGGCUCACCAAGGCGACGAUCUCUAGCUGGUCUGAGAGGAUGACCAGCCACACUGGAACUGAGACACGGUCCAGACUCCCACGGGAGGCAGCAGUGGGGAAUAUUGCACAAUGGGCGCAAGCCUGAUGCAGCCAUGCCGCGUGUAUGAAGAAGGCCUUCGGGUUGUAAAGUACUUUCAGCGGGGAGGAAGGGAGUAAAGUUAAUACCUUUGCUCAUUGACGUUACCCGCA